rnacentral:rRNA from 1 species
UGAGGAACAUGACCUUCGGCGGGGGAUAGCCGGCCCAACGGCCGGGUAAUACCGCGUACGACCACAUGGGGACAUCCCUGAGUGGUGAAAGCAGCAAUGCGCCGAUGGAGUGCCUCGCGGCCUAUCAGCUAGUUGAUGAGGUAACGGCUCACCAAGGCAACGACGGGUAGCUGGUCUGAGAGGAUGGCCAGCCACAUUGGGACUGAGACACGGCCCAGAUCCCGUACGGGG